rnacentral:rRNA from 1 species
UUUUAUUUGAGAGUUUGAUCCUGGCUCAGGAUGAACGCUGGCGGCGUGCCUAACACAUGCAAGUUGAGCGAUUUACUUCGGUAAAGAGCGGCGGACGGGUGAGUAACGCGUGGGUAACCUACCCUGUACACACGGAUAACAUACCGAAAGGUAUGCUAAUACGGGAUAAUAUAUUUGAGAGGCAUCUCUUGAAUAUCAAAGGUGAGCCAGUACAGGAUGGACCCGCGUCUGAUUAGCUAGUUGGUAAGGUAACGGCUUACCAAGGCGACGAUCAGUAGCCGACCUGAGAGGGUGAUCGGCCACAUUGGAACUGAGACACGGUCCAAACUCCUACGGGAGGCAGCAGUGGGGAAUAUUGCACAAUGGGCGAAAGCC